GGAAGAACACCCCAGAUUACACAAGUCCAAUGUCUCUUCCAAAGCCGCGAGUCAGAUGCCAUCACUCGCUCCCUGAGACGGGGUGGAGAGAGGGUCCAGAAGUGUUAUCUACGUGGAGUUGUCUCCACAGGGAUGGAAAUACCAGAAGUGGGAAGACGAGUCUCCCGGUAGCUAUCUCACAGGUUUGGUGCGAAAGUGAAAUAAAUUUGCCAUCGCAGGCUCAUAUCCUGGCUCAUCUGUGUCCCUGUGAUCAGUGUCCCCAUGCUUCUUGCAAAUCGGUUGUCUGUGCUCGCUGUUUAGAUCAUCUACUUUUGCCAUCAGCGGAAGGCUCCCCAAACACAUGCCUGAGCCCUUCAGAAUUAUGUUCAGAGGGGGCACGGAACAAAGAAAAGGUUGACCCCAUCCUCACUUGCUGGAGGCAGGAGAUGUGA
rnacentral:lncRNA from 1 species